UAUAAUUCAGCUGCUGCACUUAAAUUUCCUUGUUCCAGGACAAUUAAUCCUUACAAAAGCAGCCAUGAAGUCCCGGAAUGUGCAGGAUUGCCACGUGGCUCCGCUGAGACCAGUCACUAGCAGCAGCAGUUCCCAAACCAAAACAACAGAAUCAUUAAUCUGAUGCCCGGAUAGCAGACGCUUGGAGAAAAAACAUUCCUGUUCCCCUCCCUGCAAAGUUCUCGUUGGUCUAAUCAGCACAUUCUCCCAGCAUCCACAGAAAUUUGUGGAAAGCUCAUGCAGUGUUGGAAGAGGACUCCAAAAGUCUUUCAUCACAAAUCUUAAGAACAUAUUGGAACACUGCUGCAAUUUCCACACCAUAAAGGAUAAAUACUCGAUUGGAAGCCACCCUGAGCAUAUUUUCUAAGAAAAUUGUUCUUCUAAAUAAGUAAAUAAAUUCCACUGUACACUACA
rnacentral:lncRNA from 1 species